rnacentral:rRNA from 1 species
AAUAGAUACCCCGGUAGUCCACGCCGUAAACGAUGAGUGCUAGGUGUUGGGGGGUUCCACCCUCAGUGCUGAAGUUAACACAUUAAGCACUCCGCCUGGGGAGUACGACCGCAAGGUUGAAACUCAAAGGAAUUGACGGGGGCCCGCACAAGCAGUGGAGCAUGUGGUUUAAUUCGAAGCAACGCGAAGAACCUUACCAGGUCUUGACAUCCUUUGGCCACUCUAGAGAUAGAGCUUUCCCCUUCGGGGGACAAAGUGACAGGUGGUGCAUGGUUGUCGUCAGCUCGUGUCGUGAGAUGUUGGGUUAAGUCCCGCAACGAGCGCAACCCUUGACCUUAGUUGCCAGCAUUCAGUUGGGCACUCUAAGGUGACUGCCGGUGACAAACCGGAGGAAGGUGGGGAUGACGUCAAAUCAUCAUGCCCCUUAUGACCUGGGCUACACACGUGCUACAAUGGAUGAUACAAAGGGUUGCGAAGCCGCGAGGCCAAGCCAAUCCCAAAAAGUCAUUCUCAGUUCGGAUUGUAGG